GCACAGUGUAUGGAUGUGAAUGCAAGGAGUUACAGGUGGUCUGAGUCCCGCAGCAAAGUGUGCCAGAUGUGUGACAUGGGAGAGGAUGAGACGGUGGAACAUGUGGUGCUGGAGUGUGUGCAGUAUGCCAGAGACAGGAAUGAGAUGAUGCAAGUGAUACUGACUGAGUUAGGGCAUGAUAGGAAUGAAAGAGUGGAGAAGACAGGAAAGGAAUGGAUGGUGUUGUUGCUGGGACUGGGUAGAGAGGCCAAUGAAAGGAUGAUUGAGGCGGUGAAAGAGUUUCUGGAGAGAAUGUGGCGUGCCAGGUGUAUGAACAAUUAGGAUAGAGGAUGCUGUUCGUUUCUCUUUUUUUUUUCCCCCUUUCUACAGGAGUUGCCGAUCCAAAGGCCUGGCUCAGGAGUGAUCCUGUGCCACCUGUACCAUCAAGAUCAAGAUCAAGAUCUUGUUUACCUUUGUCACAGUGCUCCUCCUCCUGCUGUCCGUGUGUAUGUGUGUCUGUGUGUGCGUGUGAGCCUGCCUGUGUGUGUGUGUGUGCGUGUGUGUGUGCGUGUGUCUUUUGAAGGCAUCUCUCAGGCCGCUGCUGUCUCCUCUGCCUGGAAGGAAGGAGAACAAAUAGAGGAAGGAAGGAAGGAAGGAAAGAAGGAAGGAAGGAAGAAAGAAAGGACAGUGUUGAGUCUCGCAGGUCACGCCAGCGUCUUGUAAACUGUAAAUUUGCUUGCUUCACCUGCCAAUUGUGAACCACCAAGCAAAAACCAAGCCAUCCUAUUGGUCAACAGGGGAUCACCAUCAGCCCUCCCAUUGGCCCAGAGCUUUGUGGAUUGUGAUUGGACGGCUGGCUGGCUGACCUGACCUGACCUCAACCGAGCCAACAUGAUUUACGUUUUCCUCGUUGACACUGGCACCAUGAUGACCUUUGACAUGAACCUGGCACUAGAGAGUGUUGAGGUGUUGAAGGGUGCAAUACACAAUGCUGUCAAGGUGCCCCCAGACAAACAGGUGCUGCUGGCAUCUGGGGGUGAAACACUGGACUCCUGCAAGCGGGUAUGUCAUUACUCGGCCGGCACAGACACGUCCCCCAUCUUUCUGUUCUCCAAGGUGGCCAUUGAGGGAGCGGCUCCACCAACCCCUUCUGUGCAGCCUGGCGGGGACGGCGACCUCAGGGCACAGGUGGAGGGGUGUCUCAACAUGCCAGCCACUUACAACACUGUGGUGGCGCGGACACAGUUAGCACAGCAGUUUUACGAGCACGCUAGUGAGGUCACCAGAACGUGUCGCCAACUUGUUCACGACCAGCAUCUGCAGCAACAAGGCUGGGCAGCAGUGGUGGCCAACUUGGAGGACAUUGUGGCAGCCUUCAGAACAAGACAUGACGCAUUCCAGCAAAAUUUUGUGGAGUAUCUCAGUGGCCGGGAGGAGAAGGUCGCCCUGCUUCAGUCUUUUGAAGAGGACCUUAAGCUACCGGCAAGGAUUCCAGUCUUCCCUGAACUCUUGGGGAAGACACAAGAGGAAGAGGAAGAGGAAGAAGCUGGGAAGAAGAGGAGGACAAGCACAGCACAGAAGAAAGAGGAGGAGGAAGAGAAGGAAGAGGAGGAGAAGGAGGAGGAGGAAGAGGAGGAAGAGCAGGAGGAGGAGAAAAGAGGAGGAGAAGGAGGAGGAGGAGGAGAAGGAGGAAAAAGAGAAAUGAGGCAAGUGUCACUGCUGGACUGGAUCAGCGCCAAGGACAGCCAAAGUGACGUCAGACAGAUUGCCCAACUCUGCUGCAGGGGACUGGCUCAGAUCAGUGAGGGGCUGCUGGAACAAGUGGGGCAAGAGGUCAGCGC